AUCUCACGCGUAGUGCUGCUGCA
rnacentral:siRNA from 1 species